rnacentral:rRNA from 1 species
GCAGCCAUGCCGCGUGUGUGAAGAAGGCCUUCGGGUUGUAAAGCACUUUCAGUCGUGAGGAAGGCRUAUGCGUUAAUAGCGYAUGUGUUUGACGUUAGCGACAGAAGAAGCACCGGCUAACUCCGUGCCAGCAGCCGCGGUAAUACGGAGGGUGCGAGCGUUAAUYGGAAUUACUGGGCGUAAAGCGCAUGCAGGCGGCUUGUUAAGCCAGAUGUGAAAGCCCGGGGCUCAACCUCGGAAUAGCAUUUGGAACUGGCAGGCUAGAGUCUUGUAGAGGGGGGUAGAAUUUCAGGUGUAGCGGUGAAAUGCGUAGAGAUCUGAAGGAAUACCGGUGGCGAAGGCGGCCCCCUGGACAAAGACUGACGCUYAGAUGCGAAAGCGUGGGGAGCAAACAGGAUUAGAUACCCUGGUAGUCCACGCCGUAAACGAUGUCUACUUGGAGGUUGGUGYCUUGARCACUGGCUUUYGGAGCUAACGCGUUAAGUAGACCGCCUGGGGAGUACGGUCGCAAGAUUAAAACUCAAAUGAAUUGACGGGGGCCCGCACAAGCGGUGGAGCAUGUGGUUUAAUUYGAUGCAACGCGAAGAACCUUACCUACUCUUGACAUCCAGAGAACUUUCCAGAG